UACGUAGGGUGCAAGCGUGUCCGGAAUUAUUGGGCGUAAAGAGCUCGUAGGCGGUUUGUCGCGUCUGCUGUGAAAACCCGAGGCUCAACCUCGGGCCUGCAGUGGGUACGGGCAGACUAGAGUGCGGUAGGGGAGAUUGGAAUUCCUGGUGUAGCGGUGGAAUGCGCAGAUAUCUGGAGGAACACCGGUGGCGAAGGCGGCGUCUGGACUGCAACUGACACUGAGGAACGAAAGCCAGGGGAGCAAACGGG
rnacentral:rRNA from 1 species